GCACUGGUCGUCCAGCGGCAAGGACACUGCACCCGUAAUGCAGAUACGUGAGUUCGAGUCUCACCCGGUGCUC
rnacentral:tRNA from 1 species